AAAACCAGAAUUUAAUUUGGAACAAACCUGGGUGGAAGAAACAUACUAAAAAAUAAGAAGAAGAAGAAGAAGGAGAAGAAGUAGUAAGGGGGUGGGAAAAGAAUCAUCCUGUGGAAAAUUUAGUUACAAAUUGGAUUUUCCUUUUUCUGCUGAAGAUUUGAACCGUGAGCCAUCCAGAUACAGGCUGGGACUGACAUACAUGCAGACCUCCCUCCAGAAGGAAGACCAAACAGAAAACCACCAGAUCUGCUAAAUGAUAAUGUGGUUAAUGCUAAGAAGCACAUUCCCAGCAGUUAGAAAAAAGGUCUCCUAAAACACUACUUAUUAUAAAAAACACAAGAACAAUUUGGAAAUUGUCAAAUUCAGGUCCUCAAGAUGAUUGAGGGGAACUUUACAUCUACAAAUCUACCAACACAAAUUUGUAAACUUUCUUAAACCAUUAGGAGAUUUUGCAUUUUUUUUUUUUGUUAAGCUCAUCAGCUAUCGUUAGUGUUAGUGUGUUUUAUGUGUGGCCCAAGACAAUUCUACUUCUUCCAGUGUGGCCCAGGGAAGCCAAAAGAUUGGACAUCCCUGCUCUAGAGGGACUGUCCCUCCAGGUUAACUAAUUCCUAAAGAUGGUAAACAACUCACCUGUGAGGACACCCUUCAUAUGCAAACCACAAUACAAAGCCCACACUCGAGCUACUAUCCACCCACCUGCCCUAUUACCGCAGGGCAAGACAUCAGACACUGAGGACAUUUCCUAUGCCCUAGAGUCUGCUGAAAUUUUUCAAACUAGUAAAGCCUAAGCCUGCAUGUUCUGCCUCACCCAUUCCUCCCUGCAGAAAUAAUAAUAAAAGCUCUGGCCCGCAGUUCCCCGGUCUCCCUGGCCCUCCUGAUCCACCUUGGUGCUUCCCUAUGGUGUGUGGUGUGUCCCUCCUCCUGGGAACUGUGAAUAACAAACUGUCUUUUCAAUGGCAAAAUCUUACCCUAAUCUGUUGGCAUUACUAUACUUCAGAC
rnacentral:lncRNA from 1 species